AAACACUUUACAGCCAUAGAAGACCAUGAGUUGAAAUUUGGAAGCCCUCACUAAUUUCAUACCUUGAAUCUUUCCAGAAAGAUGUACCGUCCAAUUUCGGGAACAAAACGUGGAGCGUUUGAAAUACGUGCAGCAAAAACUGCAUCAAUUAUUUGAAAAGAAGCAGCAUAUGUCAUGAUUUGUUUGGUAAACAUCGUCAGCCAAAAUUCUCUGCUAGUUGAUUUUGAGAUGAUCAGAUGCACACCUUUACCUUCUUUUUAUGGAGUUAUUUAAUAAUUUUGACAUCCUGCAUUGAACACUAACUAACCAGUUGACUUCAAAGACUUUGAAGGAAAAAAAUCACUGCUGGCAAGUAUAAUUGGUUCACCUUAAACACUUUACAGCCAUAGAAGACCAUGAGUUGAAAUUUGGAAGCCCUCACUAAUUUCAUACCUUGAAUCUUUCCAGAAAGAUGUACCGUCCAAUUUCGGGAACAAAACGUGGAGCGUUUGAAAUACGUGCAGCAAAAACUGCAUCAAUUAUUUGAAAAGAAGCAGCAUAUGUCAUGAUUUGUUUGGUAAACACAGUUCACUACUGCAGGACAGAAAAAAAAACAGAUAUACACUUUAGAUCAGUUGCAAGUAACUCACAAACGAAUAAAGUAGGAUGUAAGAUAUACCAACUCUAAAGUCAAAAAAGAAGAAAAGUAAGCUAAUUGGAAAAGUGAAUGAUACCCUAAUUUCGUAGGUCCACCAUCACAAUUACAAGGCAUACUUAAGAUGGUGUAGCUAAUUGGGAGGCCAUCUCUUGGUCAAAAUAAAAAUAAAAUGGGAGACCAUCAUUUUCUUGGCAUUUCUCGGAGGGAUCGUCUUUUUUCUAUCACACUUUUAUGCAUUGAAUUAAAGCAACAUGAUUGACCAUCACAGAUAAAUGUAUGGCCAUCAUAUGGAUUAUAUCACACUUUUAUGCAUUGAAUUAAAGCAACAUGAUUGACCAUCAC
rnacentral:lncRNA from 1 species